rnacentral:rRNA from 1 species
GACAGAGGCCUCAAGCGUUAGGCGGAAUCACUGGGCUUAAAGCGUGUGUAGGCGGACUUCUAAGUGCCUUGUGAAAUCCCCGGGCUCAACCCGGGAACUGCGUCCGAUGACUGGGGGGCUUGAAUCCGGGAGAGGGAUGUGGAAUUCCAGGUGUAGCGGUGAAAUGCGUAGAUAUCGGGAGGAACAUCCGUGGCGAAGGCGGCUACCUGGACCAGCACUGACACUGAGGCACGGAAAGCGUGGGGAGCAAACAGG